rnacentral:rRNA from 1 species
AUGUCCCUUCCCCGGGAGCGAUUCCCUGAUCUCAUCAAGUCGGGCAGGAAAUCCUCGAGAAGCGACGACGCCGACUCAAUCCUCCCGAGCUUGUGCCUCCGUUGGCCACCCGCGCCUCUAGCCAAGAGCUUCUCCCCCCGCCGACGACGUCACCCGCUCUCUCCUGCCAAGAUCCUCUGCCCGGUGAUGGCGAUGGCCCAGAGGUCAGUUUCUACUUCCGGCGAGAUCGACUACCCCUCGCGGCUCAUAUCUCCUCAGACGAACAGCAAUGGGCUAGCGGUCACCUUCCCCGUCCUCCGAGCCAGCUAA